AAUUUUCCUUUUUAAUAGAUGAACCACAACUCAUGAUGCUGAGCCAAUAGUAUGAGUACUCUUACAGACUCACACCUUGGACAUGUGAAGAACAUGCCAAUGCGUUUAUUUCUCAUCCCCUGGAUCUGCAGCAUAAGCAGAAGUACGUUGACCAAUUUGUUGUGAGGCCCUGAAGCCCACGACGCUGAUCAUCGAAAGCAGAGAUGACGACUGAACCUUGCCAUCAAUUUGGUCAUACCGAACACGACAUGUUCACGCAAAGCAGAUGAAGCUUCUCCUGAUGUGGCAGCGGCAGCAAUUAGGUAUCAUUCCACACACUUUGUGUUAAGAAACUCACAUGAUACAAGCUAGUGGUGACUUGUUAACAUUUGCGUGUGCGAUGAGCACUAGCGGGGGACGACCCUACGUUAAUUGCUAUGAUUGUUGUCCCACUAUCUCCCAUAUGUGCCUCGAGCAGAACACCUGCCGCCGGAAAAUUAUGUGUUAAAAUACAUUCCUGAUGGCUAUCCUGAAUCUAGAUCACGAGCAAUGCUACUUCCAAUAUAAGGUGCAAGUAUCCUGAAGCACAUGUUAUAGGAACCUUUUAUUUCCGUUCAUCUACCCAAAAACGUGUCUAUGUGUAUGGACAACAUAUUCAGCACCUGCCAGUUCUAUUAUCUCACUUCAAACUUUUGACUCCUUCCAUUGUGAAUUGUACUUUAUUAUUUAACGUAUAUGGAAUUUUAAGCAAAGCAUCAAAUAAAUAUGCUCGUUGUUUUUAUGCCA